GACGAACGCUGGCGGCGUGCUUAACACAUGCAAGUCGAACGGAAAGGCCCUGCUUUUGUGGGGUGCUCGAGUGGCGAACGGGUGAGUAACACGUGAGUAACCUGCCCUUGACUUUGGGAUAACUUCAGGAAACUGGGGCUAAUACCGGAUAGGAGCUCCUGCUGCAUGGUGGGGGUUGGAAAGUUUCGGCGGUUGGGGAUGGACUCGCGGCUUAUCAUCUUGUUGGUGGGGUAGUGGCUUACCAAGGCUUUGACGGGUAGCCGGCCUGAGAGGGUGACCGGCCACAUUGGGACUGAGAUACGGCCCAGACUCCUACGGGAGGCAGCAGUGGGGAAUAUUGCACAAUGGGCGGAAGCCUGAUGCAGCAACGCCGCGUGCGGGAUGACGGCCUUCGGGUUGUAAACCGCUUUCGCCUGUGACGAAGCGUGAGUGACGGUAAUGGGUAAAGAAGCACCGGCUAACUACGUG
rnacentral:rRNA from 1 species